rnacentral:lncRNA from 1 species
AGUGGCAGCGCUGACAGCGGCCGGUGCGCGUUGUCUCCACUGUGCCCUGCAUCCCGCAUCUCGCAUCGGCCAGGCUACCCGACUCAUCGCAAACGUCAGUGCUCACCAUGGGGAAGCCCACGAGCUCGGGAUGUGACUGGCGCCGCUUCCUACGGAAUCACUGGCUGCUGCUCUCCACCGUGGCCGCCGUGGUACUAGGUGAGUCGCGCGCGGGGGCACCAGGCGCGUGCCCGAGGCCAGGCCGCGUGCGGGACCGGGUGGGCUCGGCGUGGCACGCGCUGCCCGCAUUCCCCGGUACUGGGCCCCCAAGCUCCAGAUCAACCAGAGCGCUUUGGUGUCACCCGGGGGAAACAAUGUUCUUAACCCCCUCCCUCCCCCAUACUGGUGCUCCACGGGCUGCUGUCUCUGCUUUCUCCAAAAUGAUCAGAGGGCGCGUGAAAGGUGGGCAGGGGUCCUUUGAAAACAAGCGGGGUUAAAUGGGGUUUAAUUUGAUCUUCAUCCUUAACUGUUCCCACCACUUGCACACACCACCAUCACCACCACCACCAUCACCUUCGUGCCCAACCGCGACUGUAUGAAUUACUGUUCUCUGUCAGAUUUAAAGAGACAUCUGAGCCCGCGGAAUGGUGGAGACCUUGGGAAUGUUGGAGCAGAGGGUAGAUACCUUCUUAGAGGGUACCUCUCCAGUCAGAUUCAUGCCUCAUUUCUGAGCCAGCAGUUGUGGUUCACUGAGGCCACAGGGAACCAGCGCUGAGAGAACCCAACCCCCUUCUUCCUCCUGGGCAAGCUGCUCACCACGUUUUUCUAUCGAAAAUAAUAUAAGCUGCUUUUAUUUGUUUUCACACUUGGGUGUAUUUAAGUGGCCCAUGCCUGACAUACCGCUGAGCCAGGACUAGGUGGAUGUCCGGGCCAUUGCUCAGAGAUUUGAGUUACUUGUGUUUAGAAUCUCAUUUUCUGGCCAGGUUGUCUGUAUAACCUAAACUUGGCAAUGUGCUGUAGGGUGGGAACCCUGUGGGUCUUCACACCCCAGGUGGGGCCAUCCAGCAGGUAAGGACAGGUGCACCUUGAGAGAAAGUGGAUUCCUAGCCAGGCUCCACCCUCUAUCUGGAAGUUACAGCUGCCUCUGCUGGAAAGGGGACGAUGGGGCAGCCCCUUCUCCCUGGGCACUGCACCUUGCUCCUGAGUCUGGGAAUGCUUGGUGUUGCCUGCUCCUGUCCAAGGUCUUCCCCGCCAAAAAUAAAAUGCCUUUGGAAGUUAAUGGAAUCCUUGGGGUCACAUGGGUUCCUCCAGAACCUUAUGCAAAGGGAAGUCAGGCUUCCAGUAAAUAAAUAACAUCCUGAAUCGCAUUAACAGAGGAUGUUGGUGGGAGGAGAGGAGUGCAAAAGAACCCACUAGUGUCCACUUUCCCAGUGCCAAGUGGUUUAGGGCGUUUUGGGGAAAGGUUUAUCACUACAUUUAAAGAACAGCUCCUACCAAGGGACUGAAUGGAUCAGAAGACAUAGCCUUGCUUGUUUUCCCAAUGAUGAAGACAGAAUUUAUUUUUAAAUCUGUUUUGAAAGCCUUGGAGGUGAGCAAAGCUUGUGGCUCCUUCCCAGUUCUGUGUGUCUGAAGCCCUGGGCACUGCAGAGAUCCCACUAGGUCACCAAGUGCUUGCCACCAGCAGUUGGCAUGAGUGUGGGUGCCCCACAGUUCACAUACCAGUUCACUAGAGCCUGCUCCAGAAAGGAAGCCUACCGGUUAGUUGCUCAUUGGCCUUUGGACCAGUUGAAUAAGCAAAGUCCUCAGGCCAAGAAAGGGUUUGUUUCCUCUUAUUUUGCAGGCAUGACCUGUGGUCUCGAGUGGACCUGGUUUUAGUGUAGGUGAACCACAGGAACUUGAUUCUGGAAUUUAGUUUUGAGCCCAUAAAUUCGCCAUGUAAAAUUGCAAGUGCCCUGCUGAGGUCUUACAGGCAGUCAGUCCCUUGCUCUUCUCCACUCUGGUAUGAGAAACCUCCUGCUUAGAAUACCAUCGGGGUGCUCGAGCAGACACUUGCUGGGGUCCUCCUCCCUGCUACUCCGAGAACCUUUGCUCUGAAUGAAAACUCGAACCUCCCAUUGCUCAGACGACACUGGCCGGCCUGGUUAACAAGCAAUGGGAUCCAAACCCCUGGUCCUAGGUAUCUGUUAGCCCUUACUGCGUUACGAUGGUCAGCUGUUCUGCAGCUGCCAGAACUGAGCAAGCAAAAUUACCAGAGCUCUCACAAAGCCUUCUUUUGGGAGGGUUUUUUUUUUUUGCAUGUAGACAUU